GUCGCUGAGAUGAAGACAGCGACCUUACUCCCAGCUUCGCCUCUCAAAGCUCUCAGAAGGGUGGCGACAGUGGCGAGGUGCACACCGAAGGGCGCCCUUUCCCCGGGCAAGCUGCAGCACAACCUCUUGCCAAAGGCGGCUGGGGUCCGUGACGCAGCCGCCUGCCGCGCUCAGGUUGAGGCUGCCGGGAGAGGCAGCGGCGUCGGUCCUGGCCCCUGCUGUCCAGCGGCGCCCCGGUUCUGGGCAGAUCCUGGGCUCAGUGGAGCCAAGGCAGCGCCUGCCCGCACAGCCCGCUCACCAGCGCCUGGCUCUCACAAUGAUGAAGAAGUUUAAGUUUAAGGUGGACUUCCAGCUCGAGGUAUCCUUCUUCAGUGGGGUCCUCUUCUUCAAGAUGUGGCUGCUGGACUGCGGCAGCUUCACUGCAG
rnacentral:lncRNA from 1 species